UAAACAGAAGAGGGGAUGGAGGCAAGCGAGGGAGACGUAGCGCUGUGCAGGACCAUUAGGCAAAGAGGGGAAGGGAUUAAGGUGCAGAAAUCUGCCCUUAAAUCAACGCCGCUGGAGCGGUGGUUGGGCUGUGUGAGUAAGAGUUAGCUCAGGGCAGGUAAGUCAUAUUUCUGCAGGCCAUGGGAUGUGAAGAUAAAGCUGUCAAAAAGCCCCCCAGGUUCUGAAAGGAGUGCCUGUUUUACUCCUUUUUAUCCUCAGCUGCUAGCUAGUACACAAACACUUGACUUAAACGUAUACUGAGAUUCAGAAGUGUAUGCAGUCUCAUACGGUUCUCUUAAGAUGUUAAGCGCUGUAAUAAACACCCACCCUUUUGCAACAUCAGAUAGUUUGGCUGACGCAGAAGAAUCCUUGAAACAUUAGACCGGCGACUGAGGAGGGGUACGGAUGUCAAACAUCUUGUUAUCAAAGCCAGAGCUUUCAGAGCAGUGUUUGAGAGGGCUACAUCGUUUUGAACAGCCCCCGCUGUACCAAAGCAUGUCCGGAUUUUACAGAUAACUUGUGCUGUUCCAUCUUUGAUAGCAGGAACAGCUUGGUUUUGCUGAGAGUGGAAAUGCCUCUGCUGAAAUGAUCUUGUGGAAAUGGGAAGAUACAAGAAAACACUCAAGUAGCCUGUAGCAGUCUGCAUACUGCUGCAAACAGAAGGAAAGUGCACAAAGCGAAACAUGACUUGGAUGAGAAACACAUCUCGCAUGCUGUUAUUGAUUACCCCCUGUAAUACAAUGUGUCCUCAGCUGCUAAGUGUGCGGCUUUUUCCACAGUUCACCAAAACCCGCUCUUCUGACCUUCCUCCUAAAAGCAUGACCUGCCUACCUUUCUGUGACUGUCAAUGUUGUUGGCUCCUCAGGCCAUUUUUCCAGUGCUCUUUUUAUUUUUCCCAGUAAUCUCCCCAGCUGCCACCUCCACAGAUAAAACUGGUAUUGCCAGUUAUGCACGACGUUAACUCUGAAAAGUGAAAAAAGGGAGAAGCUGGAGAUAUGCCUGAGCAGUAUUUCUACAUUACUUUCAAAUGUAAUACAUUUUUAUGCUUUGGAAACAGCAGACAAGGUGGCUCUUGGCCAGAGGAGUAAGAUAUCCCCAAGUUGGAUAUUACCAAACUUUGGCUGCUGGAUGCUAGCUGUUUACUUGCCCAGAAAAGGAAGUAGAACUACUGCACAGGAAGGUCGUACAUGUAUGUGCAAUUUCCUACAUCUGAUGGUGGUUUUCAUGGGACCUCUGGAUUGGCAGGAGGGGAAGAAUGUUGUUCUAAUGAGCCUUGAGUCCUACCAUAAUGUUUGGUCCUUCUCCAGCCUCUAACCAAGGUAUCUUGUGACUUCAGUUCUUAGGGCUGAGACAGGUGGAGGCAUACCAGGGAAAGAGGAGGUUUUGGGAAACAUAUAGGCAAGACAUAUAAGCAGUCUGCAAGAAAGACAGGGAGAGACUCUUUAGAGUGUGUAGUGUUAAGACAAGGGCUAACUGUUUUAAAUUAAAAAGGAGUAGGUAUAGGUUAGAUGUAAGGAAGACAUUCUUCACUGUGAGGGUGGUGAGACACUGGCACAGGUUGCCCAGAGAGACUGUUGAUGCCCCAUCCCUGGAAGUGUUCAAGGCCAGGUUGGAUGGGGCUUUGGGCAACCUGGCUCAGUGGAAGGUGUCCCUGCAUGUGGCAGGAGGGAUGGAACUAGGUGGUCUUUAAGGUCCUUUCCAAUCCAAACUGUUCUGUGAUUCUCAGACCUAAAUGGAGAAAGUACAUAAAAGGGCAACUUUCUGAGUGUUUUGAAAACUCUAUGAGUCAUGGAGUGUAUCAAAAAAUGAUGUCUGCCUUUCACACAAAUAUUAUCAAAAAUUUAUUAAAAAUAUGAAUAUGCAUGCCAAAAUAUACCUUUCAUUUUUUUCCACCUCUUUUUCUACUCUCUGUAUUGGUCCUUGUCUAAAGCAGCUUAGUUUCUGCAGUCUUUUCUUUGUCAAACUCAUCUUUUGCUCCCAAACAACUUCCAGCAGAUCUCAGCGCAGCGUGACUGGCACAUCUUACCCUGGUCAGUUUCCCCAGGGGAUGGAGUCCCUGGCCAGGAAGCUUCAUUGCCAAAGGGAUCUGCAAAGUGAUCUGCCAAAUCAGUCCUCGUCUGUUGUGUUGUCUGAGAUGUCUAUGUUUUUAUGAAGCAGCCGGUUCACUUAGUGAGUCUCUAUUUUUAGGUCUAUGCUAGCAGCCCUUAGGAAAUUAUAUUGAAGUUGAAGAUGAGAGGAUGUCCAGCAAGGUGAAAGCCUGCACAGACAAAAUGGUGUUGUCUUCCUAGUCUGUACUCCCACAGGGACUGCAAACACAGAUUUUGUGAGGUGUGUGCAUUGUCAAAAGGGCCUAAAAAACAAAUUUUGGGCUAGUCUAGUCAUCUUGAUAUACUGUGUUGUGCCAU